ensembl:lncRNA
GUGUAAAAUCCAUUCAGUCUCUAUCUGAUGCUAAUGCUAAUCCCGCUGCCUCUGUGGUUAGGCUGGGAUAAAGGACGUUGAAAAGGCCAUCCAGCUGGCCAGAAACAACAGGCAACUUCUCCUCCAGUCCUUGAAUGCAACACAGACCGUGCAGGAUGAAUCACGCCAGCCCAAGGGGACCGCAAGAAUCGGGGAAGAGCCUAUGCCCAAUAUCACACCAGUGGAGAAAUCAGUCUUGGAAGCAAGUACCAUGACUAAUAAAGAAAAGUAAGUCCUCUCUGUUGCAUUAGAGCGUAUCUACACCAUAACAGAGAGCAUUUAGCCUGAGAGAGUCUAUCUGUCGCAGGGUUCCUCCUCCUCCCGCUGCUGCUGCUGCUGCUAGGCCCAAGACCCAGAGCUUUCAGCAGCUGAACAAGUCUGGCGUGUGGUCGAAGUUAGUGGACGAAGCUGUGGCUGUGCUCCAAGAGGGGGCCAGGAGGAUCUUUCUACCUGAGGACAAGAGCAAAGCGGGAGGCCCUCAGGACAAGGACAAAGAGAGACGCCUUGAGGACAAUGCCAAAGAGGGACGCCCUCAGGACAAUGCCAAAGAGGGACGCCUUGAGGACAAGUCCAAAGAGGGAGACCUUCAGGGCAAGACUGAAGACGGGCGUCCUGAUGUCAAGACCAAAGAGGAAGCCCUUGUUGGUGUGGAUGGACAGGAAAUGCAGAACAAAGACAAAGCUGAGGGACAGCACAAAACGAAAGCCUCAGUGAAGAAGUCAAAGGGGAAGAAAAAGGCGGCAGCACUCAACUCCGGAGUUCCAUCUCUGAAGGUCUGAGUCACACAGGAACGAAGCAGUGGGUAAGUUAGGAGAACAUAUUUUUCACACAUCUUUAUUGUCUCUCCCACACCACACUUCCCCUUUUUGCAGCCUCUGAGGUCAUGCUCAGGGGCUUUGACUUUGACUUUGACUUCAGCAUUUUGUGCUUUUACCUUCACUCGCCAAGGAGGAGGCGAUUUAAUGUUGUCACUUCUGUCACUGACACACACAACACUUUUUAACUGACAGCGAGUUGGAGCUGGUUAUCUUGCAGCACAGACAGCGGAGUGUGUGCUGCACACCGCAGGAUGUGGGAGGCGUGUUUGUGACGAGACCUGCUCCGCUCUACACCUUGGAAAGGCCACUUCCUGCCCCGUGUCACAAAAUAUACACAAAUAGACUUCUUUAUUUACAACAUGCGAACAAAUUUUUUUUGUUUUUCUCUCUGCUAACAAACUAUAAAGUCUACUAAAGAAUUAAGAAAUUGCAUAGGCUAUGUGAGGCUAAGAGAAUACAGCAUAUAUAUCAGACCUAUAGAGAGUAUUCUAUUUAUUUUACAUUAUCAGAACAGCGAAGCAAUGUACAAGCACUGAUGUUAAAGAUUAUCUCUGAAAUGUACUACAGAAACUGAACUGAGAUAUGUGUACAAGAUUCCAGUGAAAUAACUGUCUCUGAUUGGUGAAUGCACCUACAACUCCUGUGGCCAAUAGCACCGUGGAAACAGACCCAUUGGAAACAUAACAGCAGGCACUGGAAAUAUGACAAUAGGCACUGGAAAUAUGACAGUAGGCACUGGAAAUAUGACAACAGGCACUAGACAUUUGACAGCAGGCACUAUAAAGUGACCAGUGGAAAUGUGAGUAAUAUGAUACAUUUCACUGUCGCUAGUAGAAAUGCUUUUGGCAGAGAAAAUUAUUUGGCAGAUGCUUUUGUCCAAAGUGAAAGCUUUUUAACCAUACAAAUGAUGAACUCAGCGUGAUACAAACUUUAGCAGAUAUCAAUGGUAUGUGAAUCCCAAUUGAUCUCUCUCUUAAUUGUCUUCUGUCUGAUUUGAGGACCACAUGUUUGUGCCGUUAACUAUGGAAAAAGAGAGAGAGAGAGAGAGUGAGAGAGAGAGAGCAGAAGAGAGAAGAAGAGAGGGUGUUAAGGUGUCAGUAGGUGUUAGUCAGACACUAACUGAGACUUGGUUGUCUCUCACAUAAUCUCAAAUAUUGGGACAUCCAACCCACAAUAAGCGUUCAAACUUUCUGUUGUAAUUAAAUCAUUGCAGUUGUGUUAAAAUGUCUGACCUGUUCUAUGAGUCUUCUUCUUUCUGCACACGCAUAUAGUCACGGCCAGACUAAUCAGAAGCCCCAAAGACACGGGUAUGAUGACAUCUGUGGACCAAAUACAUGUCAACAUUCCUGUUCAUUACAUUGACUCAUUGAGCAGAUGUCUUUAAUCAAAUCGACUUCCAGUAUGGUACAGAUACAUAGAGACAUUCAUCAGUGUGUGCGCCGCCUGGGUAGGGAACCCACGACUCGGUGGUGUUACCCCCUUUUGCCUUACCAGUUGAGCUUCAGGUUCACUAUGUUCCCUGCUAAAGCAUUUAAGUUCCUAAGUAACAAUCCUCAUAGAAAUAUAUUUACUGUUCUAGAUAUUUUGACUCAUUAAAUACCAAAUAAAUAUACAGAGUAUAUAGUCUGCAGGUAAUGGCUACUGACAGUAAAUCCACCAAUGCUCCUCCACGUCCACUAUGAUGACAUCAGCAACACUGCGAGAAGGGGUGGUGGUGUUUGUCACGGAAUCAGUCCUGUGAGUCGUGGCCACAGUUUGGGUGUCUGCACAAACAAACAAACAAAUAAACAAACAACAUUACUACAGGUCUACAUUCUACAUGCCAACUGACAAUGCAGUGAAGUCUAUUGGCCUAAAAUCUAAAUUGAUUAAGUAUGGAUGAUAAAUCUGAAAUCAAUUAUACAGAUUAAAUAUGGAACAAUAUCAGAAUAUCAAGAAACUGAGGAAAUGCAAUAGCAAUUACGAAUUACGAAUAAAAUUACGAUUAACUGACUCAUACCAGACAGUACAAUUGUGUUUAGAAAUGGAAAGGAAUAUUCCAGAUGUUUAGGAUGUAUCUGGGUGCAUACGUUCUCAGUGUCCCAUGUUCAGUCCUACUCUCCCACAUACAUUUAGCCUAAUAAUACAUUUAGUCUAAUAAUGCAUUUAGUCUAAUAAUAUAUUUAGUCUAAUAAUGCAUUGCCACCUGCCGCCUUAAAGAAAGAGAUCAAACUCAACCGUGGCAGGGAUGCAGCAGCACUGAGUUCUUGUUGCUGCUGACGUGGUUUGAGACGCUGCAGGUGAGUUCUCCAGUCACAUUCCGACUCAGCCGCAGAGUCUGGUUAUCUGCUCUGAGAUCAGCAUCAGCUUCACUCAGAGGCCUCCCGUUCAGGGACCAGAUGUACUGAGGACUGUCCCCAUUGGAGGAGCAGUUCACAGCCCUGAUCCAAUCGCUGCAGUGCUGGGUAAGCACAGGCUUGUCCACAGGAGCUGGUCAGAGGGGACAUUUAUUAGACACGACUCAUCACACACCCAGCAGUCUUUGCCACUGUGAGCAUCAGAGUUAGGAGUCAUUCAUGUUAUUAAGAACAGUGCAUUUAGGAAGUACAACAUUACUUUUUUGGCAGUUGGCACAUGUUGUUAUAAGAUAUACUCUAGGUUAGGAAUAGGGUCAUAGAUGUAAUAUUAUGAAAUUACAAGUACAAGUAUUAUUUAUGACUUACAUAAGUAAACAAGGUGGUACCAAUGUAGGGAUUAGAGAUAAGUUUUAAGCUUACCUUCGAUUGUUAGUUGGACUGUUGACCCCCCAAUGCUCUUCCCUGUUGACUGAUCAAAGCUCUCUGCUUUGUAGAGUCCAGAGUCAUUUCUCUCAGCUGGGCCUAUUCUCAGAGUCCCAUUCUCAGGACUGAACUGCCAUCUAUCCUUGACGCUGUCCUUGAGAAAUGUAACCUGGGAUUUUCUGAAUCUGAAAAUCCUUUGGUCAUUGUGAUCUAAAUUUAAUGCGUAUCCGCUGGUGCUCGUUGUCAGUUGUAGAUGCACUGUGUGUCCCAGUGUCCUAUAACAAGGUGUCUCCCGCCUAACACUGCAGAUGGUUUCCACUUGAAACAUUCCUGUGAAUAUAGAAUACAGAUACUCAAUGGUCUUAGAUGCACUUAGCCUUUGUUGAGUUCUGAGCCAUUCAAUUGAAAUGCAGAUCAACCACAAAUCCCUACAGAUAAUAGAUAGAUAUGCAGUCUAAUUAUAUCUAUACCAGUAGCACGGACAUUUCUGAUCUUUCAAGCUAUGCUAAUUUAUGCAC